rnacentral:snoRNA from 1 species
AUGCAUCUCUGACAGAUCUGGAGCAGUUAAUGUCUUUUGCUAAGGUUUCCACUACAGAUUCAAGAAAAAGAAGGUCCUCGCAGUUUCUGUCUGUCUGGUUGUGGCAGCGAAGAUUGAAUGGGGGAAUAUAGGA